UCUAAUAUUACAAUCAUUUUUGAAAGAUCUGUAUAAUAGGAUUCCUACAUAAAUUGUUUAACAUCGAAAAAGUUUCAGUCAAGAUAUUUAUUUUAAUUAAUUAUUAUGAGGUAUUCGGUCUUGUUGCAGGUAUUUAUCGAGCGUGAGAAUCUUUAAUCUUACAUACAUUCAGGAAACACGAGUGCGCUUUAGCUUAAAAGCCUUUUAUGUUUUCUUUGUCCACAUUGAAAUGUUAGAAAUAGGUUCCUCAUGACGCAGUAAUUAGUUAAAACAAUGCAGUAAAUGCUUUAUUUUUAUUCCAGGGAGUCAGCGAUACGCGCAAAAGACAGACUUUUAUUAAGCUGAGAAGCAUUUGAAAAAUAAACACAAAUUCUUUUAGAAAAGAGGAGAAGUCAAACCAGUUUCAGAGAAGAGAAAAAGAUAACAAGAAUAUUUCAGUGAAUUAUAAAAAACGAUACAGGCGAUUCCCUGCUCGUCUAUCUAUGUAUGCUGACCAACGUAGAAUGUAGAUUUGUAUAACGGUGUUUCAAUUCAUUGAUGGAAGAGGAGAUUCUGACUACAAAGAUUUGGAGAAGAAUAAUGACAUA